AGAGUUUGAUCAUGGCUCAGAAUCAACGCUGGCGGCGUGCCUAACACAUGCAAGUCGAACGAGAAAGUGGAGCAAUCCAUGAGUAAAGUGGCGCACGGGUGAGUAACACGUGACUAACCUACCCUUGAGUGGGGGAUAACCUAGGGAAACCUGGGCUAAUACCGCAUAAUACCUACGGGUCAAAGGAGCAAUUCGCUUAAGGAGGGGGUCGCGGCCGAUUAGUUAGUUGGCGGGGUAAUGGCCCACCAAGACCAUGAUCGGUAUCCGGCCUGAGAGGGCGCACGGACACACUGGAACUGAAACACGGUCCAGACUCCUACGGGAGGCAGCAGUGGGGAAUUUUGCGCAAUGGGGGAAACCCUGACGCAGCAACGCCGCGUGGAGGAUGAAGUCCUUCGGGACGUAAACUCCUUUCGAUCGGGACGAUUAUGACGGUACCGGAAGAAGAAGCCCCGGCUAACUUCGUGCCAGCAGCCGCGGUAAUACGAGGGGGGCGAGCGUUGUUCGGAAUUAUUGGGCGUAAAGGGUGCGUAGGCGGUUUGGUAAGUCUGAUGUGAAAUCUAUGGGCUCAACUCAUAGUCUGCAUCGGAAACUGCCGGGCUUGAGUAUGGGAGAGGUGAGUGGAAUUCCUGGUGUAGCGGUGAAAUGCGUAGAUAUCANGAGGAACACCUGUGGCGAAAGCGGCUCACUGGACCAUAACUGACGCUGAUGCACGAAAGCUAGGGAGCAAACAGGAUUAGAUACCCUGGNAGUCCUAGCCCUAAACGAUGACUGCUUGGUGUGACGGGUACCCAAUCCCGCCGUGCCGUAGCUAACGCGUUAAGCAGUCCGCCUGGGGAGUACGGUCGC
rnacentral:rRNA from 1 species